rnacentral:rRNA from 1 species
AGCGGUGGAGUAUGUGGCUUAAUUCGAUGCAACGCGAAGAACCUUACCAGGCCUUGACAUGCACUAGACCGACUCUGAAAGGAGUCUUCCCUUCGGGGCUGGUGCACAGGUGCUGCAUGGCUGUCGUCAGCUCGUGUCGUGAGAUGUUGCGUUAAGUCGCGCAACGAGCGCAACCCCUGUCCUUAGUUGCCAUCAGGUAAAGCUGGGCACUCUAGGGAGACAAACCCUCUCUGAGGGUGGGAAGGUGGGGAUGACGUCAAGUCAGGAUGG